rnacentral:rRNA from 1 species
UACGUAGGGAGCAAGCGUUGUUCGGAUUUACUGGGCGUAAAGGGCGCGUAGGCGGCGCGGUAAGUCACUUGUGAAAUCUCUGAGCUUAACUCAGAACGGCCAAGUGAUACUGCAGUGCUAGAGUGCAGAAGGGGCAAUCGGAAUUCUUGGUGUAGCGGUGAAAUGCGUAGAUAUCAAGAGGAACACCUGAGGUGAAGACGGGUUGCUAGGCUGACACUAACGCUGAGGCGCGAAAGCCAGGGGAGCAAACGGG